AUUUCUCUGUAUGUGCACAGACUCA
rnacentral:piRNA from 1 species